GUACCAGAGGGAGGAGGGGGAGGAGAGGGAGGAGUAGUUACUUUUGCUUCUGUUUGUAAAAUGUUUAGGCCUCGUUUAGAUAUGUUUAGGCCUCGUUUUUUUAGCUUUCUAAUUGACGCUCUCUGUUAAUUUGUGCCUAUUUGAAUUUGGGCUUAGGUUUCAAUCAUGCUCUCGUUGUUUUGUUAAUCUAUGCUAUUUUUACUUAAUGACAUUUUAUUGGGGAGUAACCCUUGUUUCUUGGGUUAUUUUACUUAAUGUCAUUAAGUAAAAAUCGCAUAGAUUAACAAAACGCCAAGAGCAUGAUUGAAACCUAAGCUCAGAUUCAAAUAGACACAAAUUAACAGAGAGCGUCAAAUUAGAAAGCUAAAAAAACGAGGCCUAAACAUAUGCAAACGAGGCCUAAACAUUUUACAAACAAAAGCAAAAGUAACUACUCCUCCCUCUCCUCCUCCUCCUCCCUCUGGUACUUCUCUUUCUUCUUUUGAAAGUAUUGCUUCUUCAACCGCGCAUAGGAUUCUCUUGAUGUUAAAUCCCCUUCCACGGACAUGGGUCCAUAAAUCUGCACGGAUGAGGAUCUAGCUUGUAGUUGCCGCCGUGAUUGCAGAAAUCACUGGGGCGGUUGCUUUUGACACCAUGGAAGCCCUUCCAGUGCUCCGUAAUGGGCAGUUUGCUGUUCCUGCGGAAAUGGGGACAAUCAACGUGAUUGCAAGGGAAUCUUCCUUGCUUGAAUUUCUUCUUCAAUGGCUUCUCUUUCGCAGAAAUGCAAAAGGCAGUUACUCCAUUUCCACCUCCAACCAAACCUAAAAAAAAAAUAACCACAAUUAGUUCUUAAUUUUGUAAAAAAAAAAGAAAGGCUUCUUCUACUAGAGAAUGAAUCAUCUUAAUCUUUAAUUUGAAGUUAGAAAUACAAAAUGAAAUGCAGAGAACAUGUUUUAUACUACAAACCGUAGUUAUUAGCUUACCCUAAAUAUACAUUGCAAAUCAAAGAAAAUAAAAACAAAGUAUACAUGUUUAAGGAAAAUCUGCAGAGAGAGUUGGGGAAGAAGAUGCAUAGAGAUAGGCGAGAGAGAUGAGAGGAAAAUGCAUUUAUAUUAGAUAGCAUGCGCACAAUACCGUGUAAUUAUGGAGAGAGGUGAGAGGGAAGGCACAAUAGGAGAGUUGGCUAGCCAAUUUUUGUGUGUUGUUCUUGUUUUGAAACACCUAUGUACCAUUUCUUGAUAUUGGUUUAGCUGGGACAACAAGCUGGCGGGAGCUCAGGUUCUGCUGUCUCGAGUCUCCUUCUUCGGAUCGAAGGACCUCGACAGGUACAGAGAAUCGGCAGAAGCAGUCAUGUGUGGUCUGUUACCCAAAUCGCCAACUGCUACGACUAGCAGAACAACACACAGGACUCCGAUACGCCUCCAACAGCGGCAUCACGCGAGCCACGAAUAACAACCGAGAAGAGCAGCCCAGCAGCUGAGACAAUUGAGCCAAGCGGUCGCGGCCUCCGCUCGGUCCAAGAGGAAGAAGACUUGCCGAGCAAGAUACAAGGAUUAUAGUUUUAAGUAGCAAAUCUUUAUGAUUAUCUUUUACUUUAGAUAUGUUUUCAACGUUGUUUUAGAAUAGGAUUUAUAUAAAUCUUUUCGGGUUUUCUUCUUGAUUCUUUCCCGAAUCGUAGAGUCGAAUCAAGCAGGGUCCGGAUCCUAUAAAUACUAGGAUCCAUUAGAGGUCAAAGACAUCGAGAAAUAUGAAAUAAAAUUCAGUUCUCGAAACCCCAAAGCUUGACCUAGUUGCUACUAGGUUUAUUUUUCUAUUUUUCAUCACAUACUUCCACAAAUCGGUGCUCUAAUCUCCUCGAUAAGAUUAUCAAUCCUAUCACAUAUGCAGGUGGUUUAGUAUGGAUAAGUCAAUGGAAUGCCUUGCAGCAUCCCGUCUCUUGCUGUCAUAUACAGCAAUUACAUGCUCUCGUCCCGAACAGCAAAAUUGUCUUGUAACGGAAGAGAUUUCAGGCCGUCAGAUCUGCGAAAAUUCGCAAUCUCUCAGGCAGAUUUUGUAUAGGGAAACAACCCUAUGAAAAUGAGUUAUCUUGUGGGCUAUGGAGAUAAGUAUCCCCAAUAUGUCCAUCACAGAGGAGCCUCCAUUCUGACUGAUGCAACGACCU